UACGGAGGGUGCGAGCGUUGUCCGGAAUCAUUGGGCGUAAAGGGCGCGUAAGUGGCCCGGUCAGUUCGUGGUGAAAGCGCGGGGCUCAACCCUGCGUCGGCCUGAAUACUGCCGCGGCUGGAGCACUGUAGAGGCAGGCGGAAUUCCGGGAUGGUAGCGGUGGAAUGCGUAGAGAUCCGGAAGAACACCGGUGGCGAAGGCGGCCUGCUGGGGCAGUUGCUGGACACUGAGGCGCGACAGCGUGGGGAGCAAACAGGG
rnacentral:rRNA from 1 species